rnacentral:snRNA from 1 species
GUUUUUAAAAUACACCUAGUAAAAACAGAACGAUGCAGAGAAGAGUAUCGUGGGCCCUGCACACAAAAGACAUGCAAAUUCAUGAAGUGUUUCAUAUUUUU